GUGCUCACUUCGGCAGCACAUAUACUAAAAUUGGAAUGAGAGAAGAUUAGCAUGGUUCCUGUGCAAAGAUGACACGCAAAUUUGUGAAGUGUUCCAUAUUUUU
ensembl:snRNA U6 U6 spliceosomal RNA